rnacentral:lncRNA from 1 species
CAGGUGCAGAGCUGACUGCGAAACAGUGACCAAGAAUGUUCCUCCUGAGCCAAGAGCUGAGCAGGGUUGAUCAGAGAGAGAGAGAGAGUGAGAGAGAGAGAGAGAGACAGAGCUAUCUGGAGUGACAGGUACUGAUGGGACUGAAACAGGCGAAAGUUUCACAGAAUGGCAGGGACAAGAUGACUUGCUGGUUGUCUAGCUCCAUGGGAAGGAGUCUUGCUAUGAAGAAGGAGCAGUAUCACCUGUUCAAAGGCAGAGCUCACCCACUGGUGCCUCUCCAGCUUUUCAUUUAUAGGCCAAUCAUGGGAAUCGAAGAAGUAACCAAGGGAAGAAGUGUGGCAAGAGGAAUCCCUCCUCUACUUUCUAUGGAGCUGAACUCACCAUGAGUACUGCAGAAGUGAAAAGAACAAGAGUCCUACUUCAAAAAAACAACAAAAUUAAGUGUUUCUCUCUUUUUUCUUUGCCUGACAACAAUCAGCUAUGACACCCUGUAUCAGCAAAUGGAGAACGUUCAAAGCAUUGAAAGAUUCUACAUUAAUAACUGAAUCCCAUUAUUGGACCCUAUAUUUGUGCAUUUUUGAUAUGAUGAAAAUACAGAUUAGAGAAAAAUAACUGUCUAGAUACUACAGUGUCAAGUGUAUUAGUAACACAUAGAUAAAUUUAGAUAGAAAAAGCACAGGUGUCUUUACAAAAAGCUGCAAGAAAUAAAUGAGAAAAAU